UACAGAGGGGGCAAGCGUUAUUCGGAAUUAUUGGGCGUAAAGGGCGCGUAGGCGGCUUGGCAAGUGGAAGGUGAAAUCCCUCGGCUCAACUGAGGAACUGCCUUCCAGACUGCUUUGCUUGAGUCCGGGAGAGGUGAGUGGAAUUCCCAGUGUAGCGGUGAAAUGCGUAGAUAUCGAGAGGAACACCUGCGGCGAAGGCGGGUAGCUGGGCCGACACUGACGCUGAUGCGCGAAAGCCAGGGGAGCGAACGGGG
rnacentral:rRNA from 1 species